rnacentral:lncRNA from 1 species
GGCUGCAUUUGGCACCACAGCUCAAGAAUGCUGGGAAUGUUAGCAGCGUAGGCUUCUUUCUCCCAGCCUGCCAUGUGGAGCCCUACAGCCUACGCCUGGACUGAGAGGGUGGCAGGUUCCCAAAGGAGAGGUGGGGAGAAGUGGCCUCUGAGGCGUUCUGUUAGGAGUGGAGUGGGAAGAUUCUUCCUGCCACCCUUCUACUUUCAGGGUUUAGAGACAUAAUCUAGCUUUUAAUUUCUCCGUCCCUAGCUAAAAUGAAAGUAAUCUGUGGUCUCUGGUUUUUUUUUCUGCCAGUGUGAUUGUGAUGAGGCGAUCCUUUCCCCCACUGAUUA